rnacentral:rRNA from 1 species
GUAAACCCAAGGUUUCCAGGGGAAGGUUCGUCCGCCCUGGGUUAGUCGGGACCUAAGCUGAGGCCGAAAGGCGUAGGUGAUGGACAACAGGUUGAUAUUCCUGUACUACCGAUAACCGUUUGAGAGAAGGGAUGACACAGUAGGAUAAGCUAAGCACACUGUUGGUUAUGUGUGCCCAAGCAUUGAGGCAGUCAAAGUAGGCAAAUCCGCUUUGAUAAUGCUGGGAUGUGAUGGGGAGCGAAAUUUAGUAGCGAAGUAGCUGAUUUCACACUGUCAAGAAAAGUCUCUAUCGAGGUUAAAGGUACCCGUACCGCAAACCGACACAGGUGGGUGAGGAGAGUAUCCUAAGGCCAGCGAGAGAACUGUUGUUAAGGAACUCGGCAAAAUGACCCCGUAACUUAGGGAUAAGGGGUGCCACCAUCAGGUGGCCGCAGAGAAUAGGCCCAAGCGACUGUUUACCAAAAACAUAGGUUUCUGCUAAGUCGCAAGACGAUGUAUAGGAGCUGACGCCUGCCCGGUGCUGGAAGGUUAAGGGGAUCUGUUAGAGCAAUCGAAGCAGUGAACUUAAGCCCCAGUAAACGGCGGCCGUAACUAUAACGGUCCUAAGGUAGCGAAAUUCCUUGUCGGGUAAGUUCCGACCCGCACGAAAGGCGUAACGAUUUGGGCACUGUCUCAACAACAGACUCGGUGAAAUUGUAAUUCCGGUGAAGAUGCCGGAUACCUGCGACAGGACGGAAAGACCCCAUGGAGCUUUACUGUAGCUUGACAUU